rnacentral:lncRNA from 1 species
GCGCCCCGCCCGCCGCCGGGCCCCGGGGCAGGGCGGCGGCCGCGGGGCUGGGGAGCGGCCGCGGGCAGCAGGCGGGGAGCCCCGGGGGGGGCAGCGGGCGAGUCGGGGUCUGGCCCCUGCGGCUGCCCCCUUACCCCGCCGCCCCCUCCCCACUCACCGCCGCGGCGCCCUUAGGCCCCGGCUGCGACAUGUCGGCGCUCGGCGAAGCCCGGCCCGCCUCUUCCUCCCCCUUUGGGCGGUGGCGGCGGGGGGCUCCGGCCGCCCCGGGGCGGGACGGGGAGGUGUGGACAGGCUCCGGGGGUGGUUUUUGGGGAGGGAGCGCUGAGAGCCCUCCUGGGCGCCGUUAACGCCCGCCCCGGGGGCUUGAGUCACCGACACUCGAGGCUCGGAGCCCCUCUCCCCCCGGCCACCAGCCUGACAGGAAUAAUCUCAGACUGCCCAGAAACACGGUGCCCAAAUCCGUCAGGGAUUGCUCAUGGUCACGCAAAGCUGCUGGAAGCCACUCUCUGGUGCACAAACCAAAGAGUGCAGUCAUUUCUGGGAGUCAGCAGAGGUUCCAGGCAACUAAGAUUUGGACUGUACUCCUGAAGACAGGAAUGAGAGAAGACAAUGCCACCCCUCAGGGAAACAUCUACCCUGGGUUAAUUAUUGCACUGGCAUCGAUGCUGUGAAGUCAGCAGGUCUAGAGGAAGAGAAGUGUGGGGAAGCACAGAAUGAGAGACAGAGGUGCAUCAAUUCCCAGCAACUCUGGCCCCAGGGGAACAGGCAUCCAGGGCAGGAGAGGGCCAGUUGUGGCAAAGCUGUCUUCAUCCUGGGCAGUGCUCCCUGUGUAUUGCUGAGGAUCUCUGUGAUUUCAGCCCAAAGACCUUCCUACAGGUUUCACUUGUAGAUUGGCAUCCGACUGGACAGCGUGCCUUGCAGCCUGCAGAAACUGUGUGCUUGUGUGAGAAAUGCGAGUUUUGUGUUGUUUCCCAUUCUCCCUUCCAAUGCAGCAAUGUGUCCAUCACCUGACCUUUCUGUACUCAGCAUUAAUUUCCAUUAAAA